rnacentral:misc_RNA from 1 species
UAACCCUUGUGGAGGAGGACGCCGAAGGUGGGGCUAAUGACUGGGGUGAAGUCGUAACAAGGUAGCCGUACCGGAAGGUGCGGCUGGAUCACCUCCUAACAGGGAGACAAAACUGAUUAUGAUUUUCAAUUCUUGAGCAAGAGCCGAGACUUUAUAACGGUCUUUCUCUGCUAAUUGCAUUGAGAGUUAGAUCUUUAGUUUUAUUUUCUAUAGGCGGUUGAUAUUAGAUUUAUCUAAAUUUUCCAUGCCUAAUCAUUGAACUUAAAAUUAAAGAGAAUAGUGUUAAAACAUAUGCCGUUAUAAAGGUUUAAUGGUCAAGCUACAAAGGGCUCACGGUGGAUACCUUGGCACACAGAGGCGAUGAGGUCAUA